UUUAUUCCAGAUUAAUACAGAUCUUAAAGGUGUAUUUGGACAUCUUUUGGAAGAGGUAGAGAAACCAACUGGGUAUAUAUAAUCCUUUCCUUGAUUUCAAUUAGCAAGAGACCAGACUGAUUGUUC